GGGAGCACAGGAUCCUGGGCUGUGUCCCCCGGCGCCCUGGGAUCCGGGGCCUGUGCUGCUGGAAUCGCGCUCCCGGGGUGUGGUCCU
rnacentral:pre_miRNA from 1 species